rnacentral:rRNA from 1 species
UGGGGAAUUUUGGACAAUGGGCGAAGCCUGAUCCAGCAAUGCCGCGUGUGUGAAGAAGGCCUUCGGGUUGUAAAGCACUUUUGUCCGGAAAGAAAUCCUUGGCUCUAAUACAGUCGGGGGAUGACGGUACCGGAAGAAUAAGCACCGGCUAACUACGUGCCAGCAGCCGCGGUAAUACGUAGGGUGCAAGCGUUAAUCGGAAUUACUGGGCGUAAAGCGUGCGCAGGCGGUUUGCUAAGACCGAUGUGAAAUCCCCGGGCUCAACCUGGGAACUGCAUUGGUGACUGGCAGGCUAGAGUAUGGCAGGAGGGGGGUAGAAUUCCACGUGUAGCAGUGAAAUGCGUAGAGAUGUGGAGGAAUACCGAUGGCGAAGGCAGCCCCCUGGGCCAAUACUGACGCUCAUGCACGAAAGCGUGGGGGAGCAAAACAGGAUUAGAUACCCUGGUAGUCCACGCCCUAAACGAUGUCAACUAGUUGUUGGGGAUUCAUUCCUUAGUAACGUAGCUAACGCGUGAAGUUGACCGCCUGGGGAGUACGGUCGCAAGAUUAAAACUUAAAUGGAAUUGAC